rnacentral:lncRNA from 1 species
GCAGAACUUUACUGGGUAACUGUUGACUGAGAAGUGCCUACCUUAGUCCCUACUUCAUACCUAUAACAUCAGUGAAACCUAAGAACCUCAGAGGAAGAGAGACCGACUCAGAGAAAGAAGCAACUUGGGAAACCCCAGGACACACAAACAAGCUUAGGGGCCUUUCUGGCUGAACAAUCUGGCUGCCCUGGAUCUGUCUUCCCUGCUGUGUUCGAGGAAGGGAGCUUGUGGGACUGGAAGGGUCAGUCACACCGGAGCCUGUCACUCAGGAGGAAUCUGUUUGUGUUUGAGGAGUGACUUCUGCCUAUAUACUUUUCUUUCAGAGUAAAUCCUACUAGUCAAAUGGUCAA